GUAAACAGGAAACCGAACAGCAGAUAUUCCGUGUUGUGUUCAUCAAUGUGAGGCAGAGAUGUCAGGACAGCGCGCCACAACAGAGUUAAAAAAAAAAAAAAAAAAGUCCAAAAGUGCCCAGGGCAGCACAAAAGAGAAGAGACCGGUGGACGAGACCCAGCGCAAGACUGAGCCGCUCGAUCCGUCCGGCGAGAUCGCCGGAUGCCAGCAACGCAACACUACAUCGUGGGAGAGCCCCGACGCCAAGGAGCAUCAACAGCAUUGUUUCUGAAGUCCAGCAGUAUCAAACUACUCUUCUGAGCACCUUGAGGGACACAAUGGAGAGGAUCUUUGAAAGACGUUCAGACAGCGUGGAGCAGUUACAAGAGGAAGUACUGGCAACAUUAGACAAUUUUCAAGAUCCUUUCUCCCUAAUGGCUGCCACAUACAUGCAAGACAGCACCAUCCCAGAGGCUUUUUAACCCAGUUAAACCAGAGGAGGUAGUUAUGUCUCAGAGGGUUUGUCGAGUUAAGAAAGGACAGUCGAGAGUUCUAGGAAUUAAAAACAGAAGUUUUUUACUAUAUAUCCCUGGUUAAGAGUCUUGAACAGCUGUUGUCCAAUUCUAGGAUUUUUGAUAUGAUCUACACCACACCACAGAGUUGCCACAAAGAUGGUUUUUUAUAUGAUAUUGUUGAUGGGAAUUGGACUUAAUUCAGAUAGUUUAGAUACUUUUUGUUCCUGUUUUAUCUGUGCAGACUGUAUUAAGACUGAGAAAUAUGAUUGAACAGCAUCUGAAACAGUUUAAGCAGCUUUUUCCGGAGAAUAAUAUAAUCCCUAAGCAACAUUACCUGCUGCAUCUCCCUGGCCAAAUUCUUUCUCUGGGCCCUAUGAUAACACACAUGUGCAUGAGAUUUGAGUCAAAGCACUGUUUUUUAAAACGGUGGUCAUCUAAAUUGAACUUCAAAAAUGUCUGUAAGUCACUUGUGAAACAUAAUCAGCUUUUUGAAUGCUGUCAAAAUGAAAUGGGUAUGGAGCAUCCCAUUUUUUUGCAUGAGAAAGAAUUGGGUCCUGUCACAGAAGUAGCAAAUAUGGAGUAUGUUAAUACAAAGAUGAGAAAUUUUUGAGGGAUUUAUGGCAUACAACACACAAAGUAAAGUGGCUUAUUCUCAAUGGGAACAGGUACAGAAGUGACAGGUCUCUAAUAAUCACCAAUACAAAUGAGACAGUGCCUGUCUUCGGAUUUAUAAAAAACAUUUAUGUGGUAGACAGUUCAUUGUAUUGUUUUGAGUACCAGCUUUAUGAGACAGUGGAUUAGAAUAGAGAUCUUUUAGCCUAUGAAGUUGCAGUGCCUAAUCUUGCUCAAGCAACAGAGUUGAUCGAUGCUGAAAAGCUAGUGGAUCAUACAUCAUAUUAUCCUGUCAGUUUCAAAACACCACGUAUGUUCUGACAAAAUAUUUUCUUGGUGAUGUUGCUGCACUUAAACAUUGAAAUGAAUGUGAAUAAACAUGCUGUUGGUACAACUGUG